rnacentral:rRNA from 1 species
AGUCAUACGCUCGUCUCAAAGAUUAAGCCAUGCAUGUCUAAGUACAGCUUUCUUGUAACAAAAGUGAAACCGCGAAAGGCUCAUUAAAUCAGUCAUGGUUCCUUAGAUCGUACCCACAUUUACUUGGAUAACUGUGGUAAUUCUAGAGCUAAUACAUGCAAACAGAGCUCUGACCGGAGACGGAAGGAGUGCUUUUAUUAGAUCAAAACUGAUCGGUGUGUUUCACGUCCGUGCUUAACUGUACGGUGCCGUGGGCCACCGCAAGUGAACUGGUGAAUCUGAAUAACUUAUGCUGAUCGCAUGGUCACGUACCGGCGACGCAUCUUUCAAAUGUCUGCCCUAUCAACUGUCGAUGGUAGGAUCUGCGCCUACCAUGGUGAUAACGGGUAACGGGGAAUCAGGGUUCGAUUCCGGAGAGGGAGCCUGAGAAACGGCUACCACAUCCAAGGAAGGCAGCAGGCGCGCAAAUUACCCAAUCCCGGCUCGGGGAGGUAGUGACGAAAAAUAACGACACGGGACUCAUCCGAGGCCCCGUGAUCGGAAUGAGUACAUUUUAAACAGAUUAACGAGGAACAAUCGGAGGGCAAGUCUGGUGCCAGCAGCCGCGGUAAUUCCAGCUCCGAUAGCGUAUAUUAAAGUUGUUGCGGUUAAAAAGCUCGUAGUUGAAUCUGUGUUCCGCGCUGUCGGUUCGCCGUUCGCGGCGAUCACCGGCACGUUCGCGGAACGUCUUGGCCGGUGGGUUUUGGUGCUCUUUAUUGAGUGUCUCGACUUUUCACCGGCACGUUUACUUUGAACAAAUUAGAGUGCUUAAAGCAGGCAGCGUAACGCAUUGGCCUAUAUAAUGUGUGCAUGGAAUAAUAAAACAGGACCUCGGUUCUAUGUUUUGUUGGUUUUGGAGAGCACGAGGUAAUGAUUAACAGGGACAGAUGGGGGCAUUCGUAUUGCGACGUUAGAGGUGAAAUUCUUGGAUCGUCGCAAGACGGACUUAAGCGAAAGCAUUUGCCAAAGAUGUUUUCAUUAAUCAAGAACGAAAGUCAGAGGAUCGAAGGCGAUCAGAUACCGCCCUAGUUCUGACCAUAAACGAUGCCAGCUAGCGAUCCGCCGAAGUUCCUCCGAUGACUCGGCGGGUAGCUUCCGGGAAACCAAAGCUUUUGGGUUCCGGGGGAAGUAUGGUUGCAAAGCUGAAACUUAAAGGAAUUGACGGAAGGGCACCACCAGGAGUGGAGCCUGCGGCUUAAUUUGACUCAACACGGGAAACCUCACCAGGCCCGGACACUGAAAGGAUUGACAGAUUGAUAGCUCUUUCUCGAUACAGUGGGUGGUGGUGCAUGGCCGUUCUUAGUUGGUGGAGCGAUUUGUCUGGUUAAUUCCGAUAACGAGCGAGACUCUAUCCUACUAACUAGACGUUUAUUAAAACCGGUAUCACGAAGGCUCGUUGGCCCGUGCUGGUGUCACUGUGCUGUACAAUUCUUUUUGGUGCUGGAUUUCAAUAUUGCGGACAUGUUCUAUUUCUAUAGGGCUUGGCUCGUAUGAGAUUUUCAGUUACUGGAUUGCUUGCGUCUCAUGGUGCCCACAUGUUGGUCACGGUUUUUACUACCGGCGUACAAUUGAAUCUUCUUAGAGGGACAGGCGGCUUUUAGCCGCACGAGAUUGAGCAAUAACAGGUCUGUGAUGCCCUUAGAUGUCCUGGGCCGCACGCGCGCUACACUGAAGGAAUCAACGUGUGCUCCCUGGCUGAAAGGCCCGGGUAAUCCGCUGAACCUCCUUCGUGCUAGGGAUCGGGGAUUGCAAUUAUUCCCCGUGAACGAGGAAUUCCUAGUAAACGUCUGUCAUAAGCGGGCGUUGAAUACGUCCCUGCCCUUUGUACACACCGCCCGUCGCUACUACCGAUUGAAUGAUUUGGUGAGGUCUUCGGACCGGCACCAGGCAA